AUAAAUAAUCCUUAUGGAUUUUUAAUCCAUAUCCGCCUUUGUGAACUUGUAAACUGUUUGCUCCCUUUUGGCUCAUCACAAAAACGGUAAGGGGUUUCGCUGGAGGUUGUCGCUUAACGGCGAGGACCAAAGGUUUAAUCUUUUGCUGGGUGCGUCGGAGGGGUAGCCUUUUUAUACACCUCUUGUCUUUAAUACCUUGACUGAAAUCCUCUUCUUUGUUUGGCUUAACCGCUAAGCAGGAAGUAAAAAACAAAUUAAAAA
rnacentral:misc_RNA from 1 species